rnacentral:lncRNA from 1 species
ACACACGUACAUGCACGACGCUAUAUAAGUGCAAAAUCUUGGACGCGACAUUAAACCCAAUUUCACCUCAUUUCACCUCAAACCAGAAUUUUUCCCAAAAUGAUUUACCGACCAUAACAUCUUUUUGAUUAAUAUAGAAACUAUUUAUCCACACAAAUGUAUUUCUGUUUGUACCUUAACCUACACAUCUUUCCCAAACUAAUUAGUUAAAAAAAACCUGGUUAAACCAUCUAUACUGCUCAAAAGAAAUUAAGGCACAAACAUGGAUUGCACAGAUUAACUAGUCAUAUGAAAAACUGGAUGUUCUUUAACUUCUUUUGAGUAGAAUAAUAUAUAGUGUGGCUCUGUUCUGAGACUGGGAAUACAAGUCAUGAAGACAUACGUUUUCUGGUUUCAAGAAUUUCAAAUUACUAAGAUUAUAUGUUCUUAGCGUACUAUUAUUCUGAAAUUAUUUUUGCUGAUAAGACUGAUAUUUGUCACUUGUUUGCUCAAAAUCUAUUUUGAAUAUUGAAAUAAGAGUAGUGUGUCUUGACAGUAACAGUAAUGUCUGGUUAAAGAUAGGGCUAAUAAGCAGACGUUUGCUUUGCUCACUAAGCAUGAUACACAAACUUUCAAACAUUAUGCACACAAGCUAUAUUAUCCUUUUCAGUUUUUCUCUUCUUUUUUUUCUGUUAGUUUGUUUUUUAUUCAUGACAAUGUUUUGUUUUGAUCACCCAAGAUUUUUCACACAGUUUUUACAAGAGCUUUGGUGAUCAGUAGUAUAGUAUAUUUGUAUAUAUCAGUAGUAUAGACGUCUACAUACAGACAUAGUAGGUGGUGCAGUGAGAUAGAAAUCCCUGUCUGUACAUACAGAUAUAGUAGGUGGGAGAUGGAGGUCCCUAUCUGUACAUACAGACAUAGUAGGUGGUGCAGUGAGAUAGAGAUCCAUGUCUGUACAUACAGAUAUAGUAGGUUGUGAGAUAGAGAUCCCUGUCUGUACAUACAGACAUAGUAGGUGGUGCAGUGAGAUAGAGAUCCCUGUCUGUACAUACAGACAUAGUAGGUGGUGCAGUGAGAUAGAAAUCCCUGUCUGUACAUACAGACAUAGUAGGUGGUGCAGUGAGAUAGAGAUCCCUGUCUGUACAUACAGACAUAGUAGGUGGUGCAGUGAGAUAGAAACCCUGUCUGUACAUACAGACAUAGUAGGUGCUGCAGUGAGAUGGAGAUCCCUGUCUAUAGAUACAGACAUAGUAGGUGGUGAGAUGGAGAUCCCUGUCUGAACAUACAGACUAGUAGGUGGUGAGAUGGAGAUCCCUGUCUGAACAUACAGACAUAGUAGGUGGUGCAGUGAGAUAGAGAUCCAUGUCUGUACCUACAGACAUAGUAGGUGGUGAGAUGGAGAUCCCUGUCUGUACAUACAGACAUAGUAGGUGGUGAGAUGGAGAUCCCUGUCUGAACAUACAGACAUAGUAGGUGGUGCAGUGAGAUAGAGAUCCCUGUCUGUACAUACAGAUAUAGUAGGUGGGAGAUGGAGGUCCCUAUCCGUACAUUCAGACAUAGUAGGUGGUGAGAUAGAGAUCCCUGUCUGAACAUACAGACAUAGUAGGUUGGAGAUGGAGGUCCCUGUCUGUACAUACAGACAUAGUAGGUGGUGAGAUGGAGAUCCAUGUCUGUACAUACAGACAUAGUAGGUGGUGAGAUAUAGAUCCCUGUCUGUACAUACAGACAUAGUAGGUGGUGCAGUCAGAUAGAGAUCCAUGUCUGUACAUACAGACAUAGUAGGUGGUGCAGUGAGAUAGAGGUCCCUGUCUGUACAUACAGAUAUAGUAGGUGGGAGAUGGAGGUCCCUGUCUGUACAUACAGACAUAGUAGGGGGUGCAGUGAGAUGGAGGUCCCUGUCUGUACCUAC